UACAGAGACUGCGAGCGUUAUUCGGAUUCACUGGGCGUAAAGGGUGCGCAGGCGGCCGAGUGUGUGAGGCGUGAAAGCCCGGGGCUUAACCCCGGAAUUGCACCUCAAACUAUACGGCUAGAGCAUUGGAGAGGGUAGCAGAAUUCACGGUGUAGCAGUGAAAUGCGUAGAUAUCGUGAGGAAUACCAGAGGCGAAGGCGGCUACCUGGACAAUUGCUGACGCUCAGGCACGAAAGCGUGGGGAGCAAAAGGG
rnacentral:rRNA from 1 species